rnacentral:rRNA from 1 species
GCAGUCGCCGCGGUAAUACGAGGGGGGCAAGCGUUGUUCGGAUUUAUUGGGCGUAAAGCGUGCGCAGGCGGUUCGUUAAGACAGAUGUGAAAUCCCCGGGCUUAACCUGGGAACUGCAUUUGUGACUGGCGAGCUAGAGUAUGGCAGAGGGGGGUAGAAUUCCACGUGUAGCAGUGAAAUGCGUAGAGAUGUGGAGGAAUACCGAUGGCGAAGGCAGCCCCCUGGGCCAAUACUGACGCUCAUGCACGAAAGCGUGGGGAGCAAACAGGAUUAGAGACCCCUGUAGUCCCUGUCUCUUAUAC